ACUGAGGCCACCGAAACUUCUGGAACAUUUAAUGACGUUGUAAAUUUACUUCUGAUACCGGUUUGACCCAAGAAGUCAGAAAACCCAGGAGAAAUAACUAGCACCGGUUUCACACGGGGAGCUGGAUUAACCAAACAUGCACGAUGUUUUAAUAUCGUGGAAGGAAAAUAGAAGUUUAUAAUUUAGUUUAAUAUCUCUGAAUUAUUAUUUUUCAUUUUACCCUUUUAUUGUUUUAAAAGGAAAAAAAGAAACAAACACACACACACAAAGAAACAAAAGCACAUAAUUUAAAAAAAACUCUGCACUUAUUUUGGAAUUGGUGACAUCUUCUGUGCAAUGACUUUAUAAUUAACAGUAUAAGUUAGAUUUAUGAUGAAAAUAAUACACAUAUUUAAUUAAAGAAGAAGUAAAAAAUAGAAAAAGAAACGUACAUGUCUCUGAAAUUAAAACAAAACCACCAACUAAAAAUUAUUUAUAUACAAGUCAGCAAUAAGUUAAAAGCAGAAAACUUGUUUUACUUUUCUACUACGUUUCGUCAAGUUAAUUCCGUAUUUUUAUAAGCCCAGUUUGAUGCGCCAAUGACACCACUUCCCUGUCACAUUCACUUUCGUCGAGACGUUGCGAAAACUCUGCUAAGUUGCGGAUUGAAGGUCGCUGUAGCUUUUUUAGUCUUUCCAAAACAUUUAUCCAGCAUGGCUUGGCGAUCUAGUGGGAAUUCUAAUUCGCAUCUUGUUGAAAAUCUCUAUCAAAAUGGUAUAAUCAAAUCAGAGAGAGUUCGUGACACAAUGAAAGCAGUUGAUCGUGGCGACUUCUGUCAGCGUAACCCUUAUGCUGAUUCUCCACAGACUAUUGGAUAUGCUGUUACAAUAAGUGCUCCGCAUAUGCAUGCGUAUGCAUUGGAGUUGUUAAAAAAUCACUUAGUUGAUGGAAACCGUGCUCUUGAUGUUGGCUCUGGAAGUGGAUACCUUACUGCAUGUAUGGCAUUGAUGGUUGGGGAAACUGGUUUGGCUGUUGGAAUCGAUCAUAUAGACAAGUUGGUGCAGUCCUCAAUUGACAAUGUAAAGAAAAAACAGCGACUUGGAUUCUUACUAGAUAAGGGUCAGAUGAAAUUAGUUGUUGGUGAUGGAAGAUUAGGAUACAAGCCAGAUGCUCCCUAUGAUGCUAUCCAUGUUGGAGCUGCAGCUGCAGUUUUGCCAGAUUCUUUAGUUGAACAGUUGAAACCUGGUGGACGUAUGGUAAUCCCUGUGGGAGGUCAAGGAGAGAACCAAAUGCUUCAGCAAAUUGAUAAAAAUGAAGAUGGAUCAGUAACAAAGAAAAAUCACAUGGGAGUAAUUUAUGUUCCACUGACAAGCAAAGAAAAGCAAUGGCCAAAAUAAACAUGGAGAAUAUCUACUUCUCUAUGAUUCAAGGUAUCUGGAAUAUUGCUGUCUUUGCUAAUAGUUCUGACAAUCCACCUACCCUUCAUCUACAUUUGAGCCACUCUCCUUACAGUUGCUGUCCCAACUUGAAGUUGGCGAUAUUUUGCAAGAAGAGUUUUAGCAAUGAGAAACAAGAGUAAUGAAACGUAAACAUUAUUUGCACAUUUUGAAAGUCCAGACUCCAUCUUGAUAUUAUUUGAAAAAAUCCACAGAGAUUGAAUUAGACUGUCCAGUUCUGUUUUACUUUUUUGAACAACUUCAAAUCAUCCAUGAAUAACAGGGCCUAUGAUGAAUUAUGAACUGAAAUACUAAGGACUUCUGGAAGCUUUUUUUUUUUUUUUUUUUUUUUUUUUUGUAAAUGACUUUUGCACUGCAACUACUAACAGAUGCUCCACUGUUUUACCCUGUUUCUCACCAUUGAUGAGGUUCAGAUAAUAGAAAACAUAUGAGACUCUCCACUCCCUUUAUCUGCUAUUUAUAUUGUCAAUAAAUUGAUUUAUUGUUUUUUUUUUUAACAAUCGCUUUGUAAAAUUUGUUCAGAAGAAAAGAAAAAGAAACUUCAGAUCAAAAGAUUAAUUUUUUAUUUUCAUACAUAUUUUGAGCUCCUUUACUAAAAACACAUUAGAAAUUCUUUAAAUAAAUUAUUCCUAAAUGAAUAGGUGCAAUUACUUAAGAGCUAUACCAAACAGCUCAUAAUAUAAUCAAGAUAGCAGUAAACAGUCUGUUAUAUAACAAAGAUACUACACUAAGAUAUUCACAAUACAACUAAAACAUUGGUGUCCACAAGUUACACCAAAGCAGUUCAUAAUACAACCAAAAUAACUAGGCUAAACAGUUCAUAAUGUUACCAGCUAGAUACAUAAUAUAAAUAUAAUAUAUUCAUGAUAUAAAAAAUUACAAUGUUUACAAUCUAAUCAAGUAAAAAGAUGUCGUUAAAUGAUAAAAAUUCAAUCAAAUAAUUAUGCUGUUGUGUCUUUUUUUUUUUAAGAUGUAUUUCACGUUUGAAACGGAUGUAACCAAUAUGCCAUAUGUUUAUAGACGUAUGUUAUAAAACUAAAUACAAUGCAAACAGGAUAUCUGUGUCAUCCCUAAUUAAUUGUAGUCAAACUCCACUAGAUGAAGCUGCCUGUAGUCUUUUUUUUACUUUGUAUACGUUAUUGUUUAACCUUCCCAUCUAAGCUUUAUAAUAUUUCAAAAGUGGUGGCUUGAUAGAAUCAUUAGAAAGAUUGGACAAAAUGCCUUGUGGUAUUUGAUCUGGCCCUUUAUAUACCGAAUUAAAACGCUACUAAGGUAAACUUUUGCUUUUAUCCUUCUGAGGUCAAUAAAAUAGAGUGUAUGCAUGUGUGUGCAUAUAUAUAUAUAUAUGUAUAUAUGUGUAUGUAUAUAUAUAUAUAUAUAUAUAUAUAUAUAUAUAUAUAUAUAUAUAUGUAUAUAUAUAUAUAUGGGAGAAUAUACGAAAAAACAACAACAGACGAGGACAGGUGGUGUAAAUACACAUUAUACACACACAUGCACACAUCCUACUGCUCAUACACACACAAAUAGGCAAAGUACAUUUGAAUUUUGCUUCUAUGUUAUUGCAAAAUUGCUGUUUUAAUGUCUUUUGGAUAUGAAAACCAAUCCUGUAUAGAAAUUAAAUUUCUGGAUUUUAUUUGUAGACCUUGUUAUUUCUAUUCGAAAUUUGUUCUUCAUGAAGAAAAUAACUAUCAACUUCAAGCUGAUGGUUAAAAAAAAAAAAAAAAAAAAAGUAAUUUUUGCCCCAAAUAUUGCAGAAGAUUAUUUAACCAGAAAAUAUACAAUCUGUUCACACUUUUUCAGUCAAAGAAAAUUUGUAUUAAAUUUAUGCAUAAUUUAAAAUUGUAAUGAAGAGAGAAAAAAAAAAAGCCUUUCAAAAGGAGAAGAAUAAAAGAUUAUUUUCAAAACAAUUUCAAAGAGAAA